rnacentral:rRNA from 1 species
AUGCGGCUGGCGGCUGUUAUUAGCACAAUCAUCUCCCCCACGCAAUCUGCAUUCCAGAGAACCAAGUGCAUUCAUGAUAGCUUCCUUUUUGUCCAAAGCAGAGUCCGUGCCCUGCACCGCAGCAAAACCCCUGCCCCGCUGCUCAAGCUUGAUAUCGCAAAAGCUUUCAAUAGUGUUUCCUGGGAGUACAUCUUAGAACUGCUCCAGAAAUUGGGCUUUCCGCCAAGAUGGAGGGACUGGAUCGCGCUGCUUCUUGCAACUUCCUCGUCGUCCUGCCUGCUCAAUGGCAUCCCUGGAAACAAGUUCUUCCACCUUCGCGGCCUCCGUCAGGGCGACCCGUUAUCGCUGCUACUGUUCAUCCUCUGCAUCGACCCCUUACAUCGACUGCUCGAGGCGGCCACUAGAGACGGCAUCCUGCAACCCAUCCCUGGGAGGGGCGCUCGCAUGCGCACCAGCUUGUACGCGGACGACGCAGUAAUCUUCAUUAACCCAGUGCGCCAGGAAAUAGACAAGCUCCUCCACAUCCUGCAUUGUUUCAGCGAGGUCACUGGCCUAAAGGUGAACCAAGCAAAAUCCUCGGUCGUCCCGAUCGCCUGCGAC